AGUGAGCCGUGUGUCAAAGCGUUUCGAAACCAAUUUCCAGUAACUAUCGUUUUAAAUGAUUCGGUGUUUCAUGGAGCUUCUUUUAGCCCAUACCUAGUUUAUACUUUCGGGAAACUAUUCAUGCAAAUAAACAAAAAAUAUAGAGAGAGAGCGCUUAUGGCAGUUUAUACUCUCAGGACUCCAUUCAUCCUUAUGGAAGUUUACUUCCGGGUUUCAUAUCGAGCGCGUUUUUCUAUUGGUCGAAUCUCUUAGUUACGUCUGACGUCACAGCGUAGCCAUUUCUGAACGCGCCGUAGUCCCAGUAUUUACCGUCGCGUGCUGUGGAAAAAGAAAAUAAUCUACAAUUUGUGAAGAUUUGUGAUGCUUUAUGAACUAAGAAAGCUUAUUUAGCAAGUGAAGUUAUAUUUAAUUCUUUAUUUGCUAAAUAUAUUAGGAACAACAAUAAUAACAGGCGGAUUGUAUGCUUAGUAAGGUGCUUUGUUUAUUCAGUACUUAGAAGUGUAGUAUUUAUCUAACUGAUUGUUUUUUGCAGCUAAUAUAAUGACUAAUGCGCUUUAUUUUUGAAGUUAUAGAGAGCUUGUGUACAUUUAUAAUGAUUACAGUGAAGUUUUGUUGGCUAGGUUAGGACUCAUCCUUUUUGUACUAUUAAAAGUUAAAUGUUUAAAAUUUGCGUCUGUUUGCAGGAACAGUUCUGCAUCCUGUCCAUCACUGCACUCCUGAGGGUUGCCAUUUAUUCUGUUCGUUUAAGCAGACCUACAACCAUCCAGACGCUCUGAAUGACAGCCUGAAGGAUCAUCAUAAGAUCCUUUCCUGUCCUGGGUUUCGCCUGUGAAGACUUCAUUUGUUGUUUAAACACAACACCAUAAACCAACAUGAAGAACAAAGCACUGUCUAUGGGAGAAAAGAAAGACAUUGUGAAGCUGAAAGAAGAGGGAAAAUCGAUCAGGGCCAUUUCAAAGGCAUUGGGCAUAGCCAAAUCAACAAUUUGGAAUGUCCUGAAAAAGCAAGAAACCACCGGGUUACUAACAGCCAAACAUCGAACUGGUCGGCCGAGGAAAACAACAGCAGUUGAUGACAGAAACAUUGUGAGAGCUUUGCAGGAAAACCCAGAAACAACAGUCAGUGACAUCACCAACAAUCUCCACAUGGCAGGGGUGAAGGUAUCGCAAUCCACCGUUCGACGAAGACUUUGGGAGCAGAAAUAUCUAUUCCGUUACAUAAGUUUCAAACCACUCGUCAGCACCGACACGGACGGAUUGGAACGCGCAGAGGAUACAGAGAUGAGAGAUAUAAAACAAGAGCAGUGUGAUGAAUUGUGGCAGCAGACAGAAUGUGUCUAUAAUGACUCCUCGGACCCGAAUGAUGACAGGACAAACAAGGACGUGACAUGUGAAGAAACAGAAGGUGAAGCUUCUGUAGAGCUUCCAGGUGUAGCUAGCGUUGGCACGCAGACGCCCUGUACAUCGGGUUUAUUGACUAGGACUACAUGAAACUAUGUUUAUAUUUCCAUCAUUCCAGUAUGGCAUUAAUGAUCAUUGUUUAAUCUGACAUGAACAUGUUAUUGCACAGUAUGUUAUAUUCUUAUUGUACUGUGUGACAUGUAAUUAGCCUAUUGUAAAAGCCCGCUGUCAUUUUGUGCAUAAGCCAAUAAAUAGAUUAGUCUGUGUAAUGCAUAAAACUUAGUUUGUCGAAGUAAUAGUCAACAUUAAAUGUUAUUCAUAUAUUGUGUGUGUGUUUAGCUGAAAACAUUUAUGGCUGAAAAUUCCUUUACAGUUUAGCAGAUUGAUGCAGCACACCAAAUUUCAGGUCAUUUGAUCUAUUGGUGCCUGAGAAACAGCUUUUUGAACUUGACUCCAACCCCUGUGAAUAUGGGUAUGAUUAGCGCCCCCCACUGGCCAAUUUGACUGAAACCAUCAGCUGCUAGUAGGUCCCUCCAUGAAGCUACUAUUCAAGUUUCAAGAAUAUAAUUAAAUGAGACCUUUGUCAAAUGCCUGCUAAAACCUGAUUGGCUGAUGGUGACCAUGUUUUCCAUCAUGAAAAAUCCACUUAUAGAUUAGCACAUAGAUGUACAUUACCAAAUUCGAGCUUGAUUGGCCUUACGGUUCUUGAGAAACAUCUAUUUGGACUUAAUCUCCGCCCCCUGUGUAGGACCACACCCCAAGCUUUGCAACUGUCCUCAGGACCUUGUAUUGAACAUGCUUUUCUUGUUUGGUUCAAAUCCAUAUUGUAGUAGAUUUCUAAAUUGUGGCAGUAAGAUGAUCAGGAAUGUAAAUAAACAUGGUAAUCAAAACAAUGUUUAAAUAAAAUAUUACUCAAGGCAUUUUUUAGAUCAAUUUAAUC